rfam:Melampsora larici-populina 98AG31 unplaced genomic scaffold MELLAscaffold_38, whole genome shotgun sequence.
GCCUUCGUGGCUCAGCUGGUUAGAGCGCCGGUCUCAUACUCUCAGGAGUGAACACAUGAUCCGUUAGGAACCAUCCGGAGAUCGCCAGUUCGAUCCUGGCCGAGGGCA